CCACCCCGGGGUUGCCACAGCUGGUCGGUGCACGGGGCUAAGGGCUGCCCCGGCUCCUCUGGCGCCCAAACCAAGAGCGAGAGCGCGGGCGGCCGGGCGCGAAGGCUGGGACCGGCAGGUUGCUGGGGCUGCGCUGCGCCUGCCCUCCGCCCGGGGCCCCGGCGCGAGAGGCAGCUGCGCGCUCCCUCCCGGAGCGCUGGAGACAGAUAUGCAAGAUGGCAGAGGAGGGGGAAAGCCAAUAGAAAAGGGAUAUUGCACCUACUUGUGGCCAGUUUCCUUGCCCUGCCUUUGGAUCUCAUGCUGUGCCCAGUCCUGCAGCCGCUGGAAAUUUUCUAUACAUCCACGGAGAAAACAAGAAGUGGGGCUUUUGAAACCUUUUUCCAUAUUAAAGAACUAGAAGGACAGGACUCUUAAAUGAUCCAGGAGAAAGUGAGAAUCAUCCUGAACUUCAGGAAAUCUGCUGCCGCCGCUCUUACUGCUACUGAAGCUAUUUCGGCUUGUGCUUUCGGAGUUGAAAGUAGAACAAGAUUUACCAAUGAAGUGGGCACAUAGAAAUGGGGAAAUCCUAAAGGGGCCAGCUGUGUUCAAGACGGCGAAGGGCAAGAGGAUGAGGCGUCGCUGGGACACCCUCCCCUUCUCGUUUUUAAAGUCCCUGGGGUCGCGGCCGCCUCAGCGAAUGCCUGGUCUUUCCAAGAGUUUCGGGACACGAGCAAAUCCAACCUCUUCCAACUGAAAUAAUAAACACAAACUCCUCUGUGCCCUAGGGCCAAAGCA